rnacentral:rRNA from 1 species
CCUACGGGUGGCAGGAGUGAGGAAUAUUGGUCAAUGGGCGCGAGCCUGAACCAGCCAAGUAGCGUGAAGGAUGACUGCCCUACGGGUUGUAAACUUCUUUUAUAUGGGAAUAAAAUGUUCCACGUGUGGGAUUUUGUAUGUACCAUAUGAAUAAGGAUCGGCUAACGCCGUGCCAGCAGCCGCGGUAAUACGGAGGAUCCGAGCGUUAUCCGGAUUUAUUGGGUUUAAAGGGAGCGUAGGUGGAUUGUUAAGUCAGUUGUGAAAGUUUGCGGCUCAACCGUAAAAUUGCAGUUGAAACUGGCAGUCUUGUGUACAGUACAGGUGGUCGGAUUUCGUUGUGUCGCGG